rnacentral:tRNA from 1 species
ACUUUCGUGGUGUAACGGUAACACACUCGGCUCAUAUUCGAGAGCUCCAGGUUCGAGUCUCGGCGACGGCA